UUUUGUUUCUCUAAAUCCUAACAAACACACAAACUCAGUUACCAAUUCCGUCAAUCGCAGGUUUCAAAUCUUCAAUCAUGGCCGUCAAAUCCGAGGAGAUCUCCCGUUCCAACGGUGAAUCUAGCUACUCCUCAGAAACGGAGAUUAAGAUCUAAUGCAGAUCUAGUGAUCCACUAGAGUCCGAUUUCUUCUCCUUUGAAGCGGAAAUCUCCUCGGAGAUGCGUUGAUUCGAGCCCCAACAAUCCUACUAAUGUGAGCUUUUAAUAGAUCUUAAUUUUACAAUUAUUUAAGUUAAAUGGGAAAGAAAUGGAAAUCUUGACCAGUGAAGAAAAAAAUGUCAAAUUAUCAAGAAAUAUCAUAUUCUGGUCCGGUUGAAUUUUUUAGCUUGAACCGGACCAUGAACACCCCUAAUAACUUUAUAGGAGAGGUGUGCUUUCUUUUCUUAAAUAAUGAUUACAAUUUACAUGCACAUCUAGCAGGUAUCCCCUGGUAUUGAACUUGUUACAUGGAUGCAGCUGAAUAAAUCUUACAUGGAGAUUUACAAAUCAACAAUCAUACCACCAGUUGGAAUUUUGAAAUUUUUGAAUAUGGGCGUACGUAGUAGUAGCUGACCAGGUAAAGCAAGAGAAACGCCUGUUCAGUUUUAGUUUGUUCCUCAGAAUUUUAUUUAGGCAAAGCGAAAACCAAUACAUAUGCUCAUAAGAAUGCGUGAAUAUCAUACAUUAAAUAGGUUAAAGCACAAGAUUCUUACUUAAUUGUUAGAUUCACCAACAAUGAAAUGAUAUUGAGAACAUUGAGCAGGGGCUUCUUAAACUAGGCCAGCCUCGUGCUGAUAAAUAAAUUAAAGAGAGUAACCUUAAAAGUAGACGAAGCAGAUAUCACAUUUGAAAAGAGAAGCUAUUUGUUUUUAUCAUCUUCUUAUGUGUUUAUUUGGUCAGGGAAUCCGGUUCUUCAGGAAUUGUCUUCGGUGAUGCAAAUACUUGACAAAAUCAGUUAUUGUCAGUGCCGGAGCAAGUUUCAUUCGUUUAGCUUUCUCACAUACUAAGGUAAAUACAUUGAUGGGAGCAUGCCACAGACAAAGGUAAAUACAUUGCAUGGACGCUAUUCUUUUUCCCGCCAAAAUGAGAGUUUCCAUUACAGAAAUGCCGCCAGGUGAAGGGCUGAUUCAGUGAAAAAUUAUACAUGGUACGUGACUUGAGUUAGUAAAAAGAUUGUGCUUCUGAUUCCCCACUCAAUAACAGAGGGAAAGCUGCAAAGCUUCUUCUUUUUUUCCGGGGGUGCAAAGCACGUAUUUCAUAUAAAAUAAACCCUAAAUUGAAGGGUGUAAUUAAAAAUAUUCUAUUUUAGGACUAAAUUGCAAAAACCUUUAAAGUUUGGGUGUGCCUUUGCCCACUGACGGUUAAAUGUAGUUCCUCCGAUGCAUCUUAAUAAGAACGCAGAUGCAUGGCAACUGUAUAUUUCUUUAUGGUAAAUGGAAAUAAAAAAUGCCAAUGAGGCGGCUUAAGUAAUUCCUCGAAGC